rnacentral:lncRNA from 1 species
CGAGGGCUUUCUUUUGGUAGCAGCGGCGACGCCUGUGGUGGCCGGAGACGGAAGAUCUGGUGGAGAGAGAAAAUGGUGGUAGCCGGCGUGUUUGGGCUUUUCCGGCCAGCUCCGGCGGAGGAUGGAUGAUCGGAGGAUGUAUCCCGACUCUCCUCAGCUCAAGCUUCGCGAUGGCACUGGUUUCGUGGCGAUCGGGCUUCGUUUGCAAAUCGACGGCCGUGAUCGUUCGCAAAUCUCUCCGGAUGGUCGGGUGUCAGAUCAGAAAAUCGGAAGCGGGGAUCGUCAUCAGCGCGUCGUUGUGAGUCCGAUGGUG